AAUUUUGUCUUUUCGUCGGAAUUUAGAAAUACAACUUUCGUACAAGUUUGUACUUCUACACCGUGAUCCGAUCAAAAUAUUAAAUCCUUCUUUAUUCUUUUGUCGUCUCAUUAUAAAAGGAUCCCUGAAAUAAACAUAAACAUGCAUUUUUUUGUUUUUUUUUUUGUUUUCUUUCUUGCCUUUUUUAUUUUUUAUAACAUAAUAAAAAAACAAGCACAAACACACAUUUUUUUAUUAUGUUUUUUUCUUCUUUUGUUUUCUUUUUUCUUUUUCUUUUUCUUUCUUUUUUCUGUUUCUUUUUACAUCCACAAUACAAAUAUAAUAAUUCAAAAAUAAAUCAAAAACUACAUCAAAUAAUCCAAAUUUACAAGUCAGUCCCCCAAAACUCCAGAAAUUGCAAGGGAACCCUUCUGCACAGGAAUUGGAGGCAGGAACAGCUGCGGCGCGUGUUCCAACGCGCCACCGUCACUGGCGGCGCGUGGGGCCACGCGCCGCCGCUGAUGGAGACCAAAAAUCAGUGGAUCGGGAACGUCUUCUUCUUCCCUGUCUUCCUCCGCCGGCGGUGAGAGUCACCGUCACCUGCAACAGCAAGAAAAACACACACAAAGCAAUCGGUUUUAGUUGUUCUUUAUUUUUUUCUGUUCUGCUCUUUUUCUCCGUUUUGCGGCAGAUCUGUUCGUUUCUUUUCCUUUCCUAAUCUCCUCUGUUUCAGGUGGCUGCCGGCUUCUAGGAGGAACGACCGAGGAGGGGCGUCGCCGCUGGGCUGGAGAAAGGAGUUGUUGGGCGGUUGUGUCUGUCGCGUGGGCAGAAACUGCCACUGCUGAGGUCGGUUGAAGGAGAAGAAGAAGACUGCGGGGCUGCCGCUGCGCUUGGGGGAGGAGCUGGAGACGGCACCGAAGGAGACGAUGAAGGCUGUUGGAAGCAGUGAGCUGGGUCUGCUGCCGGCCAAAGGAGAUGAUGAAGAAAAUGGGUUUGUCUUGGCUAGCAGCUGGGGGGGAGAAUGGAGAAAGGGGAGCUGCGGUGGCUGCUGGUGAAGGAAGGACUACCGCUGGCCGGUGAGGGAAGAGGAAGAUGCUGGAACCGGCUGGAGAGGGAGAAGCCAAGCUCCUGGCCGGCGAGAAGAAGGGAAAAAUCUGAUGAGGAGGGGGGUCUUGUGUGCGGCUGGAAAAGGGGAGAAGACCGGGCUGAGGAGGAAAAAAAAACCGAAAAUCCUCCAGGGGGGCGGCGGCUACUGCCAAAAAUGGAGAAGAGAGUGAUGGUUUUAGGGGUUUUUUUUGUUUAGGGUUUUUUUGUAUUUUUUUCCUGAUGUUGUCAAAAUUGCCCCCCCUACUUAGCUGAAAAUGAAGGCUAUUUAUAGGCAAAAUAGUUUUUCGGGCUUCAAAA